rnacentral:lncRNA from 1 species
GCCUGGGUAUUAAUUCCUCCCAAACCAAGUUUAAUUGGAUUUGUAAAUUGAGUACGGCUGCGUGGACAUCUUGAAAUAGCAAGGCAGUCUUUUUGAAGGCUUGGGUGAUGUUUUUUGUUAGCUGGUUGACCGCUGCUGCUGUCGCCACUUGAUUUUGUGAGGUGACUGUUGCUGUUGUGGCGGAAAUAGCUGCCACCAUGGAAAUGAUGACAGCAGUAAGGGUGAAAUUUUCAAAAUCUUUCUGCGGGGAUGAAACACAAGAUUAAAGAGAGGAUCUGAAUUUUGUCAUUCCAUAUGGAGCUCAACAGGGACCCAAACGGCAGGGGUGUUCUAGCAAAAUAUAAGCUCCAAGUUUCUGAAUGAUUAAACAAACAAGGAUCGAUAAUAGGGGUAAAAUGAACAUGGAAGGGGAAGGCAGAACAAGAUAGAGAUAGGGGGGGUCACGUACUUGCGGAUUUGUCCAGGACAAAGUAGAGACUGAAGGCUCUGUGCCAAGAAGGCUAUUCCCGGGCGCGCAGCAGCCCACCCCCACCCCAACUCAGUGCAUUGAUGCAGCCGCACGCCGGCUGCGCAGCCUCCAUCUCGCCAGCCUGGACCCUGCGCUUGCAACGCUCUCGGCCCGCUGGGGCCUAACUCCCUGGGGACUGGGGCCCGCAAGCAGCCGGGGAGACAGGAUCCACAGUGGGAGGCAGGGACAGUGGAGGCCGGGGUAGACAAAAGGACCUUCGGCCACCGUGAAGCUAUCGACUCAGCUGCCGACCAGGCUCUCCUCCCAGCUCAGCAGGCCCCAGUGCCCCGAAGCUGCAGGUCUUUCUCUCUGAAACUUUUCCAGAGCUCUCAGCUGCGCUGGACUGGGCUUUCGAGGAGGAGGCUGGGCGGCCUGGAGGCCCAGGACCCCAAAGCCACGCUAAGUCCCAAUCAAAGGAUUGUUUCUCUUCAUCCAACAAGUACGAUGGCGGCACACAGGGUGGAGGCUGCCAUCUUGGACUGGAAAAGGGCACUGACCAAUCCAGAAGACUGGCCAAUGGGGAGAACCCACAGUAAAUGACCAAAUGUUCAGACAGGCCAGAACAUUUGUUCCUCCUGCAAGGUCACUCAGAACUUGAGAAAAGCUCUCAGAUGUCGGAUGCCCUCUACACUUGCCCUCUCUGUCUCAAGCUCCAUGUAUAUCUCACAAGGUAAAAACUCUGUCUUUUUAUUAACCCCA